GGCUUUAGCACCCCGACCACCCUAACAUCUUGCACUGUCUGGGGGCUCCCCGGGCUCAGCAACACCCACCUCUGUGGCUGGGAGCUGGGCUCAGCCACAUCCCUGCAACUUCUCCGGGACACCGCCAUCCAGCUACGCCAAGGCCUGACGGCGGCUCCAUGUUUCCUGCCAAUGGCGGUGCUAUUAAUUUGUCAAACGCUCAGAGCCAUAUGUGGCUCGAGGCUGCCAUGUUGCACAGUGCAAAUCCACAGAGCGUUUCAUCCAAUGGUAUUGCCCUUGAAGGUGGGCAUUCCACAGCCCGCGGCCCUGACGAGGGAAAUGCACAGAGCCUCCUCCUGACCCGCAGCGCACAUGUGAGGAUUCCAAAUAAAGUUGCAGACUCCAUGUUCUUAGGGGAAGAGAGCGUAACUCCCGCUGCUUAAGUGAAGCCCAUGCAUAGUGACUUUGCUCCAGUGAGUCUGGAAAGCGGGACAAGGGAGUAACUUUCCUGUGGAGAAACCUGGCAGAGGCCACGACCGCCAGAUCAUCAGAAAAACCCCAACUGAGAGAAAUUCUACAGCAUGCCUGACCAUUACUCUUCAAAACUAUCCCAGUCAUCGAAAACAAGGAA
rnacentral:lncRNA from 1 species